rnacentral:rRNA from 1 species
AGGUAAGCUACUAAGAGCGAAUGGUGGAUGCCUUGACUGGUAAAGGCGAUGAAGGACGUACUAGACUGCGAUAAGCUACGGGGAGCUGUCAAGAAGCUUUGAUCCGUAGAUUUCCGAAUGGGGCAACCCAAUGUAUAGAGAUAUACAUUACCUAUAUAGGAGCGAACGAGGGGAAUUGAAACAUCUUAGUACCCUCAGGAAAAGAAAUCAAUAGAGAUUGCGUCAGUAGCGGCGAGCGAAAGCGCAAGAGGGCAAACCCAGUGCUUGCACUGGGGGUUGUAGGACUGCAAUGUGCAAGAGGUAAGUUUAGCAGAACAUUCUGGAAAGUAUAACCAUAGAGGGUGAUAGUCCCGUAUGCGAAAAACAAACCUUAGCUAGCAGUAUCCUGAGUAGGGCGGGACACGAGGAAUCCUGUCUGAAUCCGGGUCGACCACGAUCCAACCCUAAAUACUAAUACCAGAUCGAUAGUGCACAAGUACCGUGAGGGAAAGGUGAAAAGAACUGAGGUGAUCAGAGUGAAAUAGAACCUGAAACCAUUUGCUUACAAUCAUUCAGAGCCCUAUGUAGCAAUACAGGGUGAUGGACUGCCUUUUGCAUAAUGAGCCUGCGAGUUGUGGUGUCUGGCAAGGUUAAGCAAACGCGAAGCCGUAGCGAAAGCGAGUCUGAAUAGGGCGCUUAGUCAGAUGCUGCAGACCCGAAACGAAGUGAUCUAUCCAUGAGCAAGUUGAAGCUAGUGUAAGAACUAGUGGAGGACUGAACCCAUAGGCGUUGAAAAGCCCCGGGAUGACUUGUGGAUAGGGGUGAAAGGCCAAUCAAACUUCGUGAUAGCUGGUUCUCUCCGAAAUAUAUUUAGGUAUAGCGUUGUGUCGUAAUAUAAGGGGGUAGAGCACUGAAUGGGCUAGGGCAUACACCAAUGUACCAAACCCUAUCAAACUCCGAAUACCUUAUAUGUAAUCACAGCAGUCAGGCGGCGAGUGAUAAAAUCCGUCGUCAAGAGGGAAACAACCCAGACUACCAGCUAAGGUCCCUAAAUCUUACUUAAGUGGAAAACGAUGUGAAGUUACUUAAACAACCAGGAGGUUGGCUUAGAAGCAGCCAUCCUUUAAAGAAAGCGUAAUAGCUCACUGGUCUAGUGAUUUUGCGCGGAAAAUAUAACGGGGCUAAAGUAAGUACCGAAGCUGUAGACUUGCACACAACUUAGAUUA